rnacentral:tRNA from 3 species
GUCGGGCGUAAGGGUAAUUGGAGCGCGGCGCUCUCCCCAUCCCUCGGGUAUUCGAGGUUGCUUCCAGCUUUCGAGCUGUGACGCGGGGUUCGAAUCCCUGCCCCGACA